GGGUUGUGAGGUUAAGCGACUAAGCGUACACGGUGGAUGCCCUGGCAGUCAGAGGCGAUGAAGGACGUGCUAAUCUGCGAUAAGCGCCGGUAAGGUGAUAUGAACCGUUAUAACCGGCGAUUUCCGAAUGGGGAAACCCAGUGUGAUUCGUCACACUAUCAUUAACUGAAUCCAUAGGUUAAUGAGGCGAACCGGGGGAACUGAAACAUCUAAGUACCCCGAGGAAAAGAAAUCAACCGAGAUUCCCCCAGUAGCGGCGAGCGAACGGGGAGGAGCCCAGAGCCUGAAUCAGCAUGUGUGUUAGUGGAAGCGUCUGGAAAGGCGCGCGAUACAGGGUGACAGCCCCGUACACAAAAGCGCAUGUGCUGUGAGCUCGAUGAGUAGGGCGGGACACGUGGUAUCCUGUCUGAAUAUGGGGGGACCAUCCUCCAAGGCUAAAUACUCCUGACUGACCGAUAGUGAACCAGUACCGUGAGGGAAAGGCGAAAAGAACCCCGGCGAGGGGAGUGAAAAAGAACCUGAAACCGUGUACGUACAAGCAGUGGGAGCACAGGUUUACCUGUGUGACUGCGUACCUUUUGUAUAAUGGGUCAGCGACUUAUAUUCUGUAGCAAGGUUAACCGUAUAGGGGAGCCGGAGGGAAACCGAGUCUUAACCGGGCGUUAAGUUGCAGGGUAUAGACCCGAAACCCGGUGAUCUAGCCAUGGGCAGGUUGAAGGUUGGGUAACACUAACUGGAGGACCGAACCGACUAAUGUUGAAAAAUUAGCGGAUGACCUGUGGCUGGGGGUGAAAGGCCAAUCAAACCGGGAGAUAGCUGGUUCUCCCCGAAAGCUAUUUAGGUAGCGCCUCGUGAAUUCAUCUCCGGGGGUAGAGCACUGUUUCGGCUAGGGGGCCAUCCCGGCUUACCAACCCGAUGCAAACUGCGAAUACCGGAGAAUGUUAUCACGGGAGACACACGGCGGGUGCUAACGUCCGUCGUGAAGAGGGAAACAACCCAGACCGCCAGCUAAGGUCCCAAAGUCAUGGUUAAGUGGGAAACGAUGUGGGAAGGCCCAGACAGCCAGGAUGUUGGCUUAGAAGCAGCCAUCAUUUAAAGAAAGCGUAAUAGCUCACUGGUCGAGUCGGCCUGCGCGGAAGAUGUAACGGGGCUAAACCAUGCACCGAAGCUGCGGCAGCGACACUCAGGUGUUGUUGGGUAGGGGAGCGUUCUGUAAGCCUGUGAAGGUGGCCUGUGAGGGUUGCUGGAGGUAUCAGAAGUGCGAAUGCUGACAUAAGUAACGAUAAAGCGGGUGAAAAGCCCGCUCGCCGGAAGACCAAGGGUUCCUGUCCAACGUUAAUCGGGGCAGGGUGAGUCGACCCCUAAGGCGAGGCCGAAAGGCGUAGUCGAUGGGAAACGGGUUAAUAUUCCCGUACUUGGUGUUACUGCGAAGGGGGGACGGAGAAGGCUAUGUUGGCCGGGCGACGGUUGUCCCGGUUUAAGCGUGUAGGUGUGUGUUCCAGGUAAAUCCGGUUCACUUUAACACUGAGGCGUGACGACGAGGCACUACGGUGCUGAAGCAACAAAUGCCCUGCUUCCAGGAAAAGCCUCUAAGCAUCAGGUAACAUCAAAUCGUACCCCAAACCGACACAGGUGGUCAGGUAGAGAAUACCAAGGCGCUUGAGAGAACUCGGGUGAAGGAACUAGGCAAAAUGGUGCCGUAACUUC
rnacentral:rRNA from 1 species